rnacentral:rRNA from 1 species
UGCGCAGGCGGGCUUGUAAGUCAGUGGUGAAAUUCUGCCGCUUAACGGUAGAACUGCCAUUGAUACUGCAAGUCUUGAAUAUGGUUGAGGUAGGCGGAAUGUGUUGUGUAGCGGUGAAAUGCAUAGAUAUGACACAGAACGCCAAUUGCGAAGGCAGCUUACUAAGCCAUUAUUGACGCUGAGGCACGAAAGCGUGGGGAGCGAACAGGAUUAGAUACCCUGGUAGUCC